ensembl:misc_RNA
CACCGUUUCAGUGGCAUUUAAAUCCCCGGCGCUCCUCUAUCUAGGUGACGCGCAGCAGCCCCCCCAGGCAGCCCAGGCGGCGGCAGCAGCUGCAGCGGCUGCAACGACAGAUUCCGAGCGCUGGG